rnacentral:tRNA from 1 species
UAAAUAGAAGCCAAAAACUGAGGCAUUUGUUUGUUAAUCAAAUCACUGUGAUUAAAAUCACCUAUUUAG